CAGUAGCCACGGUAAUACAGAGGGUGCGAGCGUUAAUCGGAUUUACUGGGCGUAAAGCGUGCGUAGGCGGCUUCUUAAGUCGGAUGUGAAAUCCCUGAGCUUAACUUAGGAAUUGCAUUUGAUACUGGGAAGCUAGAGUAUGGGAGAGGAUGGUAGAAUUCCAGGUGUAGCGGUGAAAUGCGUAGAGAUCUGGAGGAAUACCGAUGGCGAAGGCAGCCAUCUGGCCUAAUACUGACGCUGAGGUACGAAAGCAUGGGGAGCAAACAGGAUUAGAUACCCGCGUAGUCCCUGUCUCUUAUAC
rnacentral:rRNA from 1 species